GGGUCUAUGAUGACAAACCAAUGUCAUGAACAGAGGUUAUGACAUAAAAAUCAUGCUCAAUAGGAUUAUGCUGUGGCCC
ensembl:snoRNA SNORD115 Small nucleolar RNA SNORD115